AUAUCAGUCAUGCAUAGCAUAUCAAUAAGCGGAGGAAAAGAAACUAACAAGGAUUCCCUUAGUAACGGCGAGUGAAGCGGGAAGAGCUCAAAUUUGAAAUCUUCAAGGUUCUACCUUGACGAAUUGUAGUUUAUAGAAGUGUUUUCUGUUAGUGGAGUGGCAAAAGUUCUUUGGAAUAGGACAUCAUAGAGGGUGAGAAUCCCGUAUUUGGUCAUUCCUCCUAGCGUUGUGAUACACUUUCAACGAGUCGGAUUGUUUGGGAAUGCAGUCCAAAAUGGGUGGUAAAUUUCAUCUAAAGCUAAAUAUUGGCGAGAGACCGAUAGCGAACAAGUACCGUGAGGGAAAGAUGAAAAGAACUUUGAAAAGAGAGUUAAACAGUACGUGAAAUUGUCAAAAGGGAAGCGUUUGACACCAGUGUUGUUUUUCCGAAAAUCAAUUACGAAUGUUUUGUUUUUGAGGAGUUAUGACUUCAUCGGCUUGCUCCUUUCUUUAUGAAACUUUCUUAAUGCACUUUUCGGUUAACAAGUCAACAUCAAUUUCUUUUGUUGUAAAAGGGUAUGAGGAAGGUGGCUUUCUUUUCGGAGAAAGUGUUUAUAGCCUUGUGCCUCUGCAAUCGGAGAGAUUGAGGUCUGCAGCGUAGAUCCUUCGGGGUUAGAUACGUUUGUGCUAAGUUAUAGCUUUUCAUAGACAACUUGUUGACUAUGUUUAGUCUUGUAGCUUACUCGCUGACGCUAUUUUACCUACGCUUAGGAUGUUGAUCUCUCACAGUCGAGC
rnacentral:rRNA from 1 species